rnacentral:rRNA from 1 species
CGAACGCUGGCGGCGUGCCUAAUACAUGCAAGUCGAGCGGACUUGAUGAAGUGCUUGCACUUCUGAUGGUUAGCGGCGGACGGGUGAGUAACACGUAGGCAACCUGCCCUUUAGUCUGGGAUAACUACCGGAAACGGUAGCUAAUACCGGAUAAUUCCUUCUGGCUCCUGCCGGAGGGAUGAAAGACGGAGCAAUCUGUCACUAAGGGAUGGGCCUGCGGCGCAUUAGCUAGUUGGUGAGGUAAUGGCUCACCAAGGCGACGAUGCGUAGCCGACCUGAGAGGGUGAACGGCCACACUGGGACUGAGACACGGCCCAGACUCCUACGGGAGGCAGCAGUAGGGAAUCUUCCGCAAUGGGCGAAAGCCUGACGGAGCAACGCCGCGUGAGUGAUGAAGGUUUUCGGAUCGUAAAGCUCUGUUGCCAGGGAAGAACGUCCGGUAGAGUAACUGCUACCGGAGUGACGGUACCUGAGAAGAAAGCCCCGGCUAACUACGUGCCAGCCGCCGCCGUAAAAC